rfam:Monosiga brevicollis MX1 MONBRscaffold_5 genomic scaffold, whole genome shotgun sequence.
GGGGUUGUGGUCUAGUGGUAUGAUUUCCGCUUAGGGUGCGGAAGGUCCCGGGUUCAAUUCCCGGCAACCCCC